rnacentral:rRNA from 1 species
CACGUAUACAAUCUACCUUAAACAGGGGGAUAGCCUUUCGAAAGAGAGUAUUAAUACCCCGUAAUAAAUUGAACGGCAUCGUUUGAUUUUGAAAGCUCCGGCGGUUUGAGAUGAGUAUGCGUCUGAUUAGCUAGUUGGUGAGGUAACGGCUCACCCAAGGCGACGAUCAGUAGGGGACCUGAGAGGACUAACCCCCACACUGGUACUGAGACACGGACCAGACUCCUACGGGAGGCAGCAGUAAGGAAUAUUGGUCAAUGGAGGCAACUCUGAACCAGCCAUGCCGCGUGCAGGAUGACGGCCCUAUGGGUUGUAAAACUGCUUUUAUACAAGAGAAAACCCUGGUACGUGUACCAAGUUGAUAGUAUUGUAAGAAUAAGCAUCGGCUAACUUCGUG